rnacentral:rRNA from 1 species
AUUGAACGCUGGCGGCAGGCCUAACACAUGCAAGUCGAACGAGUGGCGGACGGGUGAGUAAUGUAUGGGAAACUGCCUGAUGGAGGGGGAUAACUACUGGAAACGGUAGCUAAUACAGCAUACCAUAAGAUGUGCCCAGAUGGGAUUGGCUAGUUGGUGGGGUAACGGAUCACCAAGGCGACGAUCCCUAGCAGGUCUGAGAGGAUGACCGGCCACUCUGGAACUGAGACACGGUCCAGACUCUUACGGGAGGCAGGUGUGGGGAAUAUUGCACAAUGGGCGCAAGCCUGAUGCAGCCCUGCCCCGUGUAUGAAGAAGGCCUUCGGGUUGGAAAGUACUUUCAGCGGGGCGGCGUUACCCGCAGAAGAAGCACCGGCUAACUCCGUGCCAGCAGCCGCGGUAAUAC